rnacentral:rRNA from 1 species
CCUACGGGAGGCAGCAGUGGGGGAUAUUGCACAAUGGGGGAAACCCUGAUGCAGCGACGCCGCGUGAGUGAAGAAGUAUUUCGGUAUGUAAAGCUCUAUCAGCAGGGAAGAAAAUGACAGUACCUGACCAAGAAGCCCCGGCUAACUACGUGCCAGCAGCCGCGGUAAUACGUAGGGGGCAAGCGUGAUCCGGAUUUACUGGGUGUAAAGGGAGCGUAGACGGUUAUGUAAGUCUGGAGUGAAAGCCCGGGGCCCAACCCCGGGACUGCUUUGGAAACUGUGUGACUGGAGUGCAGGAGGGGCGGGCGGAAGUCGUGGUGUAGCGGUGAAAUGCGUAGAUAUCAGGAGGAACACCGGCGGCGAAGGCGGCCUGCUGGACUGAAACUGACGUUGAGGCUCGAAAGCGUGGGGAGCAAACAGGAUUAGAUACCCCAGUAGUC